AGUGAACGCUGGCGGUAGGCCUAACACAUGCAAGUCGAACGGCAGCACAGUAAGAGCUUGCUCUUACGGGUGGCGAGUGGCGGCCGGGUGAGGAAUACAUCGGAAUCUACUUUUUCGUGGGGGAUAACGUAGGGAAACUUACGCUAAUACCCCAUACGACCUACGGGUGAAAGCAGGGGAUCUUCGGCCCUUGCGCGAUUGAAUGAGCCGAUGUCGGAUUAGCUAGUUGGCGGGGUAAAGGCCCACCAAGGCGACGAUCCGUAGCUGGUCUGAGAGGAUGAUCAGCCACACUGGAACUGAGACACGGUCCAGACUCCUACGGGAGGCAGCAGUGGGGAAUAUUGGACGAUGGGCGCAAGCCUGAUCCAGCCAUACCGCGUGGGUGAAGAAGGCCUUCGGGUUGUAAAGCCCUUUUGUUGGGAAAGAAAAGCAGCAGGUUAAUACCCCGCUGUUCUGACGGUACCCAAAGAAUAAGCACCGGCUAACUUCGUG
rnacentral:rRNA from 1 species